AUUGAACGCUGGCGGCAGGCUUAACACAUGCAAGUCGAGCGGGGGAAGGUAGCUUGCUACCGGACCUAGCGGCGGACGGGUGAGUAAUCAUUAGGAAUCUGCCUAUUAGUGGGGGACAACAUCUCGAAAGGGAUGCUAAUACCGCAUACGCCCUACGGGAGAAAGCAGGGGAUCUUCGGACCUUGCGCUAAUAGAUGAGCCUAAGGCGGAUUAGAUAGUUGGUGGGGUAAAGGCCUACCAAGGGGACGAUCUGUAGCGGGUCUGAGAGGAUGAUCCGCCACACUGUGACUGAGAAACGGGCCAGAAUCCUACUGGAGGCAGCAGUGGGGAAUGGUGGACAAUGGGGUGAACCCCGAUCCAGCCAUGGCGGGUGUGUGAAGAAGGCCUUAUGGUUGUAAAGCACUUUAAGCGAGGAGGAAGCUACUCUAGUUAAUACCUAGGGAUAGUGGACGUUACUCGCAGAAUAAGCACCGGCUAACUCUGUGCCAGCCGCCGCGGUAA
rnacentral:rRNA from 1 species